rnacentral:SRP_RNA from 10 species
GAGGAAGGCAGCAGGGGCCGCGGGCCGCGCGAGGGCGCUGUGCA